UACGUAGGGUGCAAGCGUUUGUCCGGAAUUAUUGGGCGUAAAGAGCUCGUAGGCGGUCUGUCGCGUCGAAUGUGAAAAUCCGGGCUCAACCCCGGACCUGCAUUCGAUACGGGCAGACGUAGAGUUCGGUAGGGAGUCUGGGAAUUCCUGGUGUAGCGGUGAAUGCGCAGAAUAUCAGGAGGAACACCGGUGCGAAGGCGGGACUCCGUGGGGCCGAAUGACUGACGCUGGAGGAGCGAAAGCGUGGGGAGCAAACAGGA
rnacentral:rRNA from 1 species